rnacentral:rRNA from 1 species
GAUGAACGCUGGCGGCGUGCCUAAUACAUGCAAGUCGAGCGAACAGAUAAGGAGCUUGCUCCUUUGACGUUAGCGGCGGACGGGUGAGUAACACGUGGGUAACCUACCUAUAAGACUGGAAUAACUCCGGAAACCGGGGCCUAAUCCGGAUUACCUUUUUAACCCCCUUGUUUUUCCGUUAAAGGCGGCUUUUCUUUUACCUUUUGAUUGACCCGCGCCGUAUUAGCUAGUUGGUGAGGUAACGGCUCACCAAGGCAACGAUACGUAGCCGACCUGAGAGGGUGAUCGGCCACACUGGAACUGAGACACGGUCCAGACUCCUACGGGAGGCAGCAGUAGGGAAUCUUCCGCAAUGGGCGAAAGCCUGACGGAGCAACGCCGCGUGAGUGAUGAAGGUCUUCGGAUCGUAAAACUCUGUUAUUAGGGAAGAACAAAUGCGUAAGUAACUGUGCGCGUCUUGACGGUACCUAAUCAGAAAGCCACGGCUAACUACGUG